CUGUUGUUGCUCGAUCGAACGCCCGAAUUAAAUUAACCAAAUAAAGUCGAGAAUACGUUUCGUCGUCAAAAUUUUCAAUGAUUUCGACAAGUCAAUGUUUCAUUUACGUCGAUUAAAUAGACGAUGACUAAUCCUUCAUGACGUCCAACCAAUUUCAUGAUACUUGGAACGCGAACGAAUUAAGGGAAUUAUUUGGCAUGUUGAUAAACUUCGGACUCUUCAACUUGAGAUAUAGAUCACUUUCACGAAAGGAAGGGUGUAACGUUUUUCAAAAGUAAUCAAAAACUAUGGGAUUGUUGGACAUCGCGACUCGACGCGGUGCGUCGUUUGAUUUUGAUAAGACGUAGGCACAUGCACCGAAAAAUGAUGCACUUUAAUUUGAUGGAAUAAGAGCGAGGACUACCUCAUAGUAUGAAGAAUCGGUAAGCACUAAAGAGAAUGAUCAAGAGAAGGUCGUAAGUAGGAAGAGAAUGUCGUCUGGCCGUCUGUGACGUCCUCCGUUGGUUUGUUGAUACGUUCGUUCGAUGUUGGCAAAAUAAAAGAAAAAAAAGAAAAAAAAGAAAAAAAA